GGGUGUGACUAGUGACAGAGAGAGGGAGGGUGUGACUAGUGACAGAGUGAGGGAGGGUGUGAUUAGUGACAGAGUGAGGGAGGGUGUGACUAGUGACAGAGAGAGGGAGGUGGUGACUAGUGACAGAGGGAGGGAUGGGGUGACUAGUGACAGUUACCACCUCCUUCACUCUGUCACUAGUCACUCCCUCCAUCACUCUGUCAUUGUGCACCCCCUUCCUCACUCUGUCACUAGUCACCCACUCCCUCCCUCACUCUGUCACUAGUCACUCACUCUGUCACUAGUCAUCCCCUUCCCUACUGUCACUAGUGACCCACUCCCUCUGUCAC